rnacentral:rRNA from 1 species
GGGGACCGCCGGACAGUUCGCGAGGUUUUGGCCCUCUCUAAAGCCAAUUCCCCAGGACUUGUCUUUCUCUCUGAGACAAGACAGGCCUCAACGAAGAUGGAGAAACUUAAAUGGAGAUUGCAAAUGAAGGGUUUUGCGGGUGUUUCAAGCGAUGGGCUUAGUGGAGGACUUGCGCUUUUCUGGGAUGAAAGGUUGCAAGUAACGGUGUUGGACUUGUGUGCACGGUAUAUAGACGUGCAGAUUGUGGAUAUUGCUGGUGACAAAACUUGGAGGACAACUUUUGUGUAUGGCGAACCGCGGGUGGAGAACCGUCAUCGCAUGUGGAGUGCUCUGACCCAUCUGCGUGCGACAUCGUCGGACCCGUGGUUAGUAUGUGGUGAUUUUAACGAGGCAAUGUGGCAACACGAACACAUGUCGCGCGCCCAACGGUCAGAGCACCAAAUGACGUUGUUCCGGGAUUGUUUGAUGACAUGUGAGCUACUGGACCUAGGCUUUUCGGGGUACCCCUUUACUUAUGAUAAUGGCUAAACGGGGGACAGAAACGUUUGGGUCUGACUUGACAGAGCCUGCGCAGACGAAGCAUGGAGGGAGCUCUUCCCUUCCUCGCAAAUAUCUCACCUGGCUUCAUCAUGUUCAGAUCAUUGCCCGGUUUUGAUUCAGCUCUCCUUGCUGGAGCCGAAGAGAACCAGGACCGCACCCAGGUACGAGAUCAUGUGGGAAAGGCAUCCUGCGUUGGCUGAUGUGGUGGCAAGGAGAUGGGCAAGGAGUAAACCCGCGGGCAACCUGGGCGCUGUCCGCGAUGCCUUGCGGGAGAUGAUGAGCAGCCUAAGGCAGUGA